rnacentral:tRNA from 1 species
GCCCAGAUGGCGGAACUGGUAUACGCGUUCGACUUAAAAUCGAAUGGAGAAAUCCGUGCGGGUUCGAUUCCCGCUCUGGGCACCA